rnacentral:rRNA from 1 species
UUGUGCCUACGGGGCGCAGCAGUGAGGAAUAUUGGUCAAUGGUCGGGAGACUGAACUAGCCAAGCCGCGUGAGGGAUGAAGGUACAGAGUAUCGUAAACCUCUUUUGUCAGGGAACAAAGGCGGGGACGUGUCCCCGGAUGAGUGUACCUGAAGAAAAAGCAUCGGCUAACUCCGUGCCAGCAGCCGCGGUAAUACGGAGGAUGCGAGCGUUAUCCGGAUUUAUUGGGUUUAAAGGGUGCGUAGGCGGAAUAUCAAGUCAGCGGUAAAAAUUCGGGGCUCAACCCCGUCGUGCCGUUGAAACUGA